ACAGACACACACACACACAGAGGAUAUUUUUCAGCCACCCUCCUGUGCUUACCUUUUCUUUGCAGGAGGGUGGCUGGGGCUGAUGGGAGUCGGCGUGGCUCUCCCUCUUCACAGCCUGGCUGGUCUCCUCCCGCGUGGAGUGAGCUGGGAGGAAGUGACCACUUCCUCCCAGCAGCACUUGCGCUGCAGCUGCGUUUUUUUUAAAGGGGCCCGGUCGCGCUAUAACACGGCCACAGCGCUGACUGGGCCCCUGAAGAUAUAGG